GGGAGGGAGCCUGCAGCGACUCUAUCAUGUUACUGUGGUGGUGGGGGAACAGCGGGCGUGAUGGCAGUAGUCAGUCGUCAACACAACACCAGCCAGCUCCACCACACUCUCCCCGCCCACGCCCACACUCACGCCCACGCCCACGCACCCAUACCUUAGGGAACAUUCCACGCUCCAGCCCGGCAGCUUCCUCCUCGUCUCCACCCUCCCCUUCACCGUUGUAUUUUUAGACUCUUAUUACGCACUUAAAUCAAGUUCACGAACGAUGCAUAUUAUGUUUUCGUCUUCAACUUUCAGCAAGACACUAAGAGGCCCUAAGAUGCCACGGGAUACCAACUAAUCACCCGUGGCAGCUCCGAUCUCCCAAGGGACGCUCGAUGAAAAAAAUGUAACUACAGAAAUUAUCCAAAAGUGGUAUGGGCGGCGCGGAUCAUGGUGAGGAGAACCAAUACAGCAACAUCUGGCGGUCUUGUACCUUGAAGGGCGCAGCACACCACCAGCGCCUGAGGAAAACAGUAACUUAUCAUGUUGUAUAUCAAUAAGAUCAUGCAGAGAUUACUCAUGAAAGUUUGUCAGAAUUGUGCAAAUAUUUAAGGAUUUUCGGUCAUAUAUACUGUCAAUAGACAAUAUACCCAUAGAUAUAUUUUGUUAAUGUCAUAGAAGUUUUGUUUUAUAAAAUUAUGUGAGAAUGUGUGCUAUGGAGAGUGAGAUUAGUGAGGUUGCCUUCAAUCCAAUGUUACUAUAAGAUGUUUCGUUCUACUACAGUAAAUAAAUACUUCAAUGCAAAAAUGAAUGAAUCAGUGAAAAGUAUAUAUACAUUUUGAACUAACAUCGUGUCACUAUGUGUAAAAUAAGCUCUGUUGCCAAUAUUUCAACUGACGGGUUUGUAUAUAUAUUCGUGAAGUGUUUCAGUGCAUUUACAAAUAUUAAAGUAAAUGUAUUUAUUUUAUGUUGGUAAUAAAUAUAAGAAUGUUCUCAGGUGGC